rnacentral:rRNA from 1 species
AGACGGUAUUUCAGGAGGAAGCCCCGGCUAACUACGUGCCAGCAGCCGCGGUAAUACGUAGGGGGCAAGCGUUGUCCGGAAUGAUUGGGCGUAAAGGGCGCGUAGGCGGCCCGGUAAGUCUGGAGUGAAAGUCCUGCCUUCAAGGUGGGAAUUGCUUUGGAUACUGUCGGGCUUGAGUGCAGGAGAGGUAAGUGGAAUUCCCAGUGUAGCGGUGAAAUGCGUAGAGAUUGGGAGGAACACCAGUGGCGAAGGCGACUUACUGGACUGUAACUGACGCUGAGGUUCGAAAGCGUGGGUAGCAAACAGGAUUAGAUACCCUG